GACAGAGGGGGCAAGCGUUGCUCGGAAUCACUGGGCGUAAAGGGCGCGUAGGCGGGAUGCAAGUCGGUCGUGAAAUCCCUCGGCUCAACCGAGGAGCGUCGGCCGAUACUGCCAUUCUUGAGGGAUGCAGAGGAGACUGGAAUUCCCGGUGUAGCGGUGAAAUGUGUAGAGAUCGGGAGGAACACCGGUGGCGAAGGCGGGUCACUGGCCCAUAACUGGACGCUGAAGGCACGGAAAGCGUGGGGAGCAAACAGG
rnacentral:rRNA from 1 species